rnacentral:rRNA from 1 species
AACGCUAGCUACAGGCUUAACACAUGCAAGUCGAGGGGCAGCAGGAUCUAGCAAUAGAUUGCUGGCGACCGGCGCACGGGUGAGUAACACGUAUCCAACCUGCCGAUAACUCGGGGAUAGCCUUUCGAAAGAAAGAUUAAUACCCGAUGGUAUAAUCAGACCGCAUGGUUUGAUUAUUAAAGAAUUUCGGUUAUCGAUGGGGAUGCGUUCCAUUAGGCAGUUGGUGAGGUAACGGCUCACCAAACCUUCGAUGGAUAGGGGUUCUGAGAGGAAGGUCCCCCACAUUGGAACUGAGACACGGUCCAAACUCCUACGGGAGGCAGCAGUGAGGAAUAUUGGUCAAUGGACGAGAGUCUGAACCAGCCAAGUAGCGUGAAGGAUGACUGCCCUAUGGGUUGUAAACUUCUUUUAUACGGGAAUAAAGUGAGGCACGUGUGCCUUUUUGUAUGUACCGUAUGAAUAAGGAUCGGCUAACUCCGUGCCAGCAGCCGCGGUAAUACGGAGGAUCCGAGCGUUAUCCGGAUUUAUUGGGUUUAAAGGGAGCGUAGGCGGACGCUUAAGUCAGUUGUGAAAGUUUGCGGCUCAACCGUAAAAUUGCAGUUGAUACUGGGUGUCUUGAGUACAGUAGAGGCAGGCGGAAUUCGUGGUGUAGCGGUGAAAUGCUUAGAUAUCACGAAGAACUCCGAUUG